AUCCACAUGGAAGAGGAUUUCGAUCUUCCCCCUCUAACUAGCCCCACUAUAAACUCCUCUCUUGUUCACUCCCUACCUCAAACCAGAACUUGUUCUCUCUCUAGAUUCUUCCAAAGUCUUUUCUCCUUCCAUCUGCUUAGAUCGCUCUUGAUUGUUUUGCGAGCAUCCACAUGGAAGAGGAUUUCGAUCUUCCAGCCGGAGACGGGAUGAUGAACGAGGACAUGGAUCUUCCCGACGAGAGCCCCAUUUUGAAGGUGGGCGAGGAGAAGGAGAUUGGGAAGCAAGGAUUGAAGAAGAAACUUCUCAAGGAAGGUGAAGGUUGGGACACUCCUGAAAACGGCGAUGAGGUGGAAGUUCAUUACACGGGGACGUUGCUGGAUGGGACUCAGUUCGAUUCCAGUCGAGAUAAAGGGACGCCAUUCAAGUUUACUCUUGGUCAAGGCCAAGUGAUUAAAGGGUGGGACCAAGGUAUUAAAACAAUGAAGAAAGGGGAAAAUGCUAUUUUCACCAUUCCACCUGAGCUGGCUUAUGGUGCUUCUGGGUCACCACCUACCAUUCCUCCCAAUGCAACACUUCAGUUUGAUGUUGAAUUGCUGUCUUGGACUAGUGUCAAGGAUAUCUGCAAGGAUGGUGGGAUAUUUAAGAAGAUUCUUGUUGAAGGAGAGAAAUGGGAGAAUCCCAAGGAUCUUGAUGAAGUUACAGUUAAAUAUGAAGCUCUGCUUGAGGAUGGAACAGUUGUUGCCAAAUCUGAUGGAGUAGAGUUUACCGUCAAAAAGGGUCAUUUUUGUCCUGCAUUGUCAAGGGCUGUCAAGACAAUGAAGAAGGGAGAGAAGGUUCUUCUAACGGUGAAGCCUCAAUAUGGGUUUGGGGAGAAGGGUAAGCCAGCAUCUGCUGAUGAAGGCGCUGUUCCACCCAAUGCCACACUCCAAAUAACACUGGAGUUGAUUUCAUGGAAGACAGUGUCAGAGGUGACUGAUGACAAGAAGGUUAUAAAGAAAAUCCUGAAGGAGGGCGAGGGAUAUGAGCGUCCAAAUGAUGGAGCUGUUGUCAAGUUGAAAUUGAUUGGGAAGUUGCAAGAUGGUACAGUAUUUCUGAAGAAGGGCCAUGAUAAUGAGGAUGAAGUAUUUGAGUUCAAGACAGAUGAGGAGCAAGUAAUUGAGGGGCUUGAUAGAGCUGUGAUGACAAUGAAGAAGGGUGAGGUGGCACUGUUAACAAUUGCAGCAGAGUAUGCAUUUGGUUCAUCUGAAUCACAGCAGGAGUUGGCUGUUGUUCCUCCCAACUCGACUGUAUACUAUGAGGCUGAGCUGGUGUCUUUUGUCAAAGAAAAGGAAUCAUGGGACAUGAACACCCAAGAAAAAA
rnacentral:misc_RNA from 1 species